CCUCCCUCUGAGGAUAAAGCCACCCGGCCCUGGACCUGCAGCUCUGGGAGAGGAGGCCCAGCCCGGGAUUCCCAGCUGCUCCCGUUCUCUGAUCAGGACUGAGCACAGACGACUCACCAUGGAGCUGGGGCUGAGCUGGGUGGUCCUGGCUGCUCUACUACAAGGUGUCCAGGCUCAGGUGCAGCUGGUGGAGUCUGGGGGAGGCUUGGUGCAGCCUGGGGGGUCUCUGAGACUCUCCUGUGCAGCCUCUGGAAGCAUCUUCAGUAUCAAUGCCAUGGGCUGGUACCGCCAGGCUCCAGGGAAGCAGCGCGAGUUGGUCGCAGC